rnacentral:sRNA from 14 species
UGUUGAACGUGAAGGAUAACGUUGCGUCAGCAACGGCCCGUAGGGCGAGGCGAAGCCGAGUCAUCCUGCACGACCCACCA